UUUUUUCUGAUUCAGUAGUAGAUUCAAUCUCUUCCAACGUUUCUGUAGAUUUUUCAACUGCUUUCAUAUCUAAAUCUAAAACUGAAUCAGAUGUACCCUUUGAUUCAGUUUGCCCAUCUUCCAAAAGUUCUGUACUGGUGUUAGUUGAUAAAUGUUCAGAAUUGUUUAAAGAUGGAUUACUAAGUGCAAUAUUGUAUUCUAGUUUUGGAGCAGAUGGCUUCUGUUUCCUUGCAGGAUUCCAAAAAUUGCAGUAACAACAUUUAAAUCCUACAAAAUAAAAAUACAUACAUUUUGAAUAUUUAUUAUUAUAAUUAAAUCUUUAUACAUAAUUCUUGCUGGCAGAUUAUAACAAAUGUUUACCAAAAUAUUCAAAUUCCUCUUUGAGAGCCAUUCCAUUAUGCGACUCACAACCUUGACAAAUUAAUGCAUAUCGAUUAGAUGGACCAUCCCCAAAGAGAUAAUCAAUUAUUCGAUCCAAAUUAGUCCUUUGCGGCGAUAAUAUUGGACGUGGUAAAAUUGAUGAACGUAAUAAAGAAGACCCUAUUAU
rnacentral:misc_RNA from 1 species